rnacentral:rRNA from 1 species
UACGUAGGGUGCGAGCGUUGUCCGGAAUUAUUGGGCGUAAAGAGCUCGUAGGCGGUCUGCCGCGUCGGUCGUGAAAACCUGCAGCUUAACUGUGGGCGUGCGGUCGAUACGGGCAUGACUGGAGUUCGGCAGGGGAGACUGGAAUUCCUGGUGUAGCGGUGAAAUGCGCAGAUAUCAGGAGGAACACCGGUGGCGAAGGCGGGGUCUCUGGGCCGAUACUGACGCUGAGGAGCGAAAGCGUGGGGGAGCGAAACAGG